CCUACGGGUGGCUGCAGUGGGGAAUAUUGGACAAUGGGGGCAACCCUGAUCCAGCCAUGCCGCGUGUGUGAAGAAGGCCCUCGGGUUGUAAAGCACUUUCAGUGAGGAAGAACGCCUGGUGGUUAAUACCCAUCAGGAAAGACAUCACUCACAGAAGAAGCACCGGCUAACUCCGUGCCAGCAGCCGCGGUAAUACGGAGGGUGCGAGCGUUAAUCGGAAUUACUGGGCGUAAAGCGCGCGUAGGUGGCUUGAUAAGCCGGUUGUGAAAGCCCCGGGCUCAACCUGGGAACGGCAUCCGGAACUGUCAAGCUAGAGUGCAGGAGAGGAAGGUAGAAUUCCCGGUGUAGCGGUGAAAUGCGUAGAGAUCGGGAGGAAUACCAGUGGCGAAGGCGGCCUUCUGGACUGACACUGACACUGAGGUGCGAAAGCGUGGGUAGCAAACAGGAUUAGUACCCCUGUAGUC
rnacentral:rRNA from 1 species